AUGGCGGCGGCGACCGCUCCGACGACUGCGACGAAGCUGGCGGCCGAUGAGUAAACGGCGGAGCUCGCGGGGGUGCCGGUGGGGGCGCCGAUGGGUGCGCCGGUGGGUGUGGCAGAGACCGCGGACGGCGUCAUCGCGGAGGGAGCGUCGGUGGUCGGGGCAGGGGGAGAUGCCAUCGGGGACGGCGACGCGGCGGUUGGAGGGGUGGCGACCGGCGCGGGGGCGGUGGCCGGGGACCUCGCCGGUGGCGCCGGAAGCGGGGCCAUCCGCGGUGCGGGGAGAGGCGCCGCACCGGGGGCCUGUGCGGCGGCGGUGACGGCCAGGAGCGCCACGAUGGCGGCGACGACGGCGAAGCGGGCCAUCAGGUUGGCGCAGGCGGUGAUCGGUGGAAGACUUUGGCUAGGAUUGCAGAGCAGGAGGUAA
rnacentral:rRNA from 1 species